CCCCUAGAUGUUCUGGGCCGCACGCGCGCUACACUGAACAGUUCAACAAGUCUUAACCUUGGCCGAUAGGUCUGGGUAAUCUUUGAACGCUGUUCGUGAUUGGGAUAGACCUUUGCAAUUAUGGGUCUUCAACGAGGAAUUCCUAGUAAACGCAAGUCAUCAGCUUGCAUGAUUACGUCCCUGCCCUUUGUACACACCGCCCGUCGCACCUACCGAUUGAAUGGUCCGGUGAAAUCUCGGGACGGCGGCUUGGUCGCUUGCGUCCGACUGCUGAAACUUGAUUAAACCAUAUCAUUUAGAGGAAGGUGAAGUCGUAACA
rnacentral:rRNA from 1 species